rnacentral:rRNA from 1 species
UACGUAGGUGGCGAGCGUUGUCCGGAUUUACUGGGCGUAAAGAGCGCGCAGGCGGUCGUUCAAGUCGCGUGUGAAAGCCCCCGGCUCAACUGGGGAGGGUCACGCGAUACUGAUCGACUCGAAGGCAGGAGAGGGUAGUGGAAUUCCCGGUGUAGUGGUGAAAUGCGUAGAUAUCGGGAGGAACACCAGUGGCGAAGGCGACUUCCUGGCCCAAUACUGACACUGAGGCGCGAAAGCGUGGGGAGCGAACAGG